rnacentral:rRNA from 1 species
UGAACGCUGGCGGCGUGCCUAAUACAUGCAAGUCGAGCGAACGGACGAGAAGCUUGCUUCUCUGAUGUUAGCGGCGGACGGGUGAGUAACACGUGGAUAACCUACCUAUAAGACUGGGAUAACUUCGGGAAACCGGAGCUAAUACCGGAUAAUAUUUUUAACCGCAUGGUUCAAAAGUGAAAGACGGUCUUGCUGUCACUUAUAGAUGGAUCCGCGCUGCAUUAGCUAGUUGGUAAGGUAACGGCUUACCAAGGCAACGAUGCAUAGCCGACCUGAGAGGGUGAUCGGCCACACUGGAACUGAGACACGGUCCAGACUCCUACGGGAGGCAGCAGUAGGGAAUCUUCCGCAAUGGGCGAAAGCCUGACGGAGCAACGCCGCGUGAGUGAUGAAGGUCUUCGGAUCGUAAAACUCUGUUAUUAGGGAAGAACAUAUGUGUAAGUAACUGUGCACAUCUUGACGGUACCUAAUCAGAAAGCCACGGCUAACUACGUG